GUGGAAACAAUUAGUGUGUUUUUGUGUUGUCUUACUUGUGGAGGCAUUUGAAUGCACAUCUCUUAACCUGACCAAGAUCCAAAACAUAUGGACAUCUUACAUCUUUAUGCUCUCUGGAAGCAGAAGUGGGUGCUGUAUGGCGAUGUUUCCCCUGAGAAGUGCUGGCCAGGAGUGUGGGGUCUGGAGUAAUAAAUGAUUCUUAAGUCAGUGAGGAAACUGGGCUUAAAGAUCAUCAAUCCA